AGCGCAGGUGGUGAUUUAAGUCUGAUGUGAAAGCCCACGGCUCAACCGUGGAAGGUCAUUGGAAACUGGAUCACUUGAGUGCAGAAGAGGAAAGUGGAAUUCCAUGUGUAGCGGUGAAAUGCGUAGAUAUAUGGAGGAACACCAGUGGCGAAGGCGACUUUCUGGUCUGUAACUGACACUGAGGCUCGAAAGCGUGGGGAGCAAACA
rnacentral:rRNA from 2 species